rnacentral:rRNA from 1 species
GACGAACGCUGGCGGCGUGCUUAACACAUGCAAGUCGAACGGAAAGGCCCUGCUUUUGUGGGGUGCUCGAGUGGCGAACGGGUGAGUAACACGUGAGUAACCUGCCCUUGACUUUGGGAUAACUUCAGGAAACUGGGGCUAAUACCGGAUAUGAGCUCCUGCUGCAUGGUGGGGGUUGGUAAGUUUCGGCGGUUGGGGAUGGACUCGCGGCUUAUCAGCUUGUUGGUGGGGUAGUGGCUUACCAAGGCUUUGACGGGUAGCCGGCCUGGGAGGGUGACCGGCGACAUUGGGACUGAGAUACGGCCCAGACUCGUACGGGAGGCAGCAGUGGGGAAUAUUGCACAAUGGGCGGAAGCCUGAUGCAGCAACGCCGCGUGCGGGAUGCCGGCCUUCGGGUUGUAAACCGAUUUCGCCUGAGACGAAGCGUGAGUGACGGUAAUGGGUAAAGAAGCACCGGCUAACUACGUG